rnacentral:lncRNA from 1 species
UGGCACUAUAGGUCACAACAUUCGGAACAAAGCCCUUCUCCUCCAUUUUCAAAAAUAGAUCAUUUGCCUUCUCCAUUUGUCCUUCUUUACAAAAUCCGCUGAUCAUGGUAUUAUAGGUCGCAACAUCAGGAGCGCAGCCCCUUCUCCUCCAUUUUCAAAAAUAGAUCAUUUGCCUUCUCCAUUUGUCCUUCUUUACAAAAUCCGCUGAUCAUGGUAUUAUAGGUCGCAACAUCAGGAGCGCAGCCCCUUCUCCUCCAUUUUCAAAAAUAGAUCAUUUGCCUUCUCCAGUUGUCCUUCUUCACAAAAUCCGUUGAUCAUGGCACUAUAGGUCGCAACAUUUGGAGUGCAGCCCUUCUCUUCCAUCUCCAAAAAUAGAUCAUUUGCCUUCUCCGAUUGUCCUCCUUUCCAAAAUCUGCUGAUCAUAGUAAUAUAAGUCACAGCAUUUGGAACGCAGCCUUUCUCCGCCAUUUUCAAAAAUAGAUCAUUUGCCUUCUCCAGUUGUCCUUCUUCACAAAAUCCGUUGAUCAUGGCACUAUAGGUCACAACAUUCGGAGUGCAGCCUUUCUCUUCCAUCUCCAAAAAUAGAUCAUUUGCCUUCUAGGCACUAUAGGUCACAACAUCUGGAAUGCAGCCUUUCUCCGCCAUUUUCAAAAAUAGAUCAUUUGCCUUCUCCAAUUGUCCUCCAUUACAAAAUCCACUGAUCAUGGCACUAUAGGUCACAACAUCCGGAGUGCAGCCCUUCUCUUCCAUCUCCAAAAAUAGAUCAUUUGCCUUCUCCAAUUGUCCUUCCUCACAAAAUCCGUUGAUCAUGGCACUAUAGGUCACAACAUUCGGAGUGCAGCCUUUCUCUUCCAUCUCCAAAAAUAGAUCAUUUGCCUUCUCCAAUUGUCCUU